rnacentral:lncRNA from 1 species
CAUGCAAACUCCUUUUAGAAGAUUUUUCAUCACUGAAUUUGUAUCCUCAGUACGUAGCACAGUGCCUGGCAUAUAUGUGACCCCCCAAAUGAUUCAUUCAGCUGGAUAGCAAUGGGGAAUUUUGCUACAAUAAAAACGAAAUGGCAAUGGCAGCUUUCAACUUCCAAACUGAUGUAUCUUCAAAGAGAGUAUCUGCUCCUUUCCAUCCCUACCCCAAAGACACACUUAAACUCAAUUCCCAUCAUCUAAUAGAAGAGCAAAGCUACCAGGUUCCUCUUUUGGCUAUGAUUCUACUUUUUCGGAGAGAAGGAGUGAGGCACAGGAAUACAACUCGGAGUCCUUUCUUCAUUGACUUGAGGGCUUCUGGAGACUAAGUAGUAGAUGCAAUAUGCAGAAUAAACAUACUUAAAGUGCAUCUUAUUUGCA